CCCUUCCUUCAGGGCAGACCUGUUCCAACUGCCAUCAUAGUGCUCCCUGUCCUAUCUGGCCUUCCCGACUCAAAAUCAUUCAGAACUCUUCUGCCUGGAUCAUCAAGUCUGCUGUUUUACAGCCUAUCGUACCAAAUGACUUCUACUUCACACAUCAUAGAACAAUCCAUGUGGUCUUUGUCUCAGUUGCUGGUGGUGGACCUAAUCCCCUUCCGUAGGAUCAUCCGGAGGAGGUGAAAUGAAAAAUAAUAACGUAAGUAAUGGUCAAUGGAGAGGCUGUCCUUACACUGAUCACUGCAGAUCUCCAUGGAAACCUUUGAUCUCUGGUGCGCCAGCUGCCCGGCGGUGUAUCCGUCCGCGUUGCAGGCCCCGGGGUCUGCGGUGAGACGGAUCAGCAGAUGGAUCACCUCCAGGUUUCCCUCGCUGGCGGCCCCGUGCAGCGGAAGGUUAUCAUUGUCAUCACACAGGUUUACAUCAGCGCCGUACUGCACCAGCUUCUGCACAGAACCUAUCCAACCGGCUCUCGCUGCGUCGUGCAGUGGGGUGAGAUUCAGAAUAGGGUCUCGGAUGUUUGGGUUUGCCCCUUCGCGUAGAAGCGCCUCCACUAAAUCGGGAUUGGCCCAAUUCACCACCUGCAGACCAACAGAUGAGAGACUCAGAAUACUUUACUGUCCAUUAAAUGUACCCGUGGUGUGGUGAAGUGUGUACUGGACUUCGAUUUUGGGGUACUUGCACUUUACUUAUCAGAGUUUGAAGUACGUUAGUACAUUUACUCAAGUAUACUGUUCUUAACAGUGUUGAGGUUCUUGUAGUUUACUUGAGUAUGUUAUGCUGCUUCUUUAUGUUCUUGUACUCCACUACAAUUCAGAGGUAAAUCAUGUACUUUUACUCCACUUCAUUUAUUGAAUAAUUUUAGUUGCAGAUUAGGAUUAUUGAUGGUAAAUAUAAUCUCCCUUAAAUCAGACUGUAGUUCACCUGGAGUAAAUCCAGCAGCUACCCUGCAGUAUACAAAGCCAUUCAAACUAGCUGCACCUUUACCAGCUCUGAGAACACUUUAAUGAUCAAUCAUUAUAAAACAUAUCAGAGAUAUUAUUCUGAAAUGGACCAAUCAAACAAUGACUACUUUUACUUUUGGUACUAAUAUUUUUGCAGACUUCAUUUGUAGCAUUUUGAAUGCAGGACUUUUUCUUGUAACAGAAUUCUGCACUCUUUUUACAAAAUAAGUUACUUUACAGAUUCAGAUUAUUAGGAAAUUCAAAAAUAUAAAUAAACUAUGCUAUAUAGUUAUAGGUAAAACAUCCAAGUACAUCAAGUAAUUAUAAGCAUACCUCCACUACUACAGUAGCUGUGAUAAACACAUUAUUGCUAAAAAAUAAAUAAAUGAAUCCAGUAUUUAAUAUAUAUUUUUCUGAUAUGGGACAUUAUGCAAAAUAAAUACUUAGGUAAGAUCCUGAAUGCAGGUCUUUUACUUAUACUUAGUACUUUUACACUGUAGUAUUAUCAUAGAUAGAUAGAUAGAUAAAGUACCUUAUUCAUCCCAAUUUGGGAAAUUCUUGCAUUGCAGCAGCUCAAUAAAAAUAAAAUAGCAAUACAAAUGUAUAAAAUAGACAUACAAAAUGAAAAUAUACGUACAAAAUGUACACAAAAUAUAAACAAACAUAUUAAUAUAAAGUAGGAUAUUGUAUAAACAUUAAGUGUUUGAGGAAUGGAAUAUUAAAUAGAAUCUAAAUGUGAAAUGUACAGCGUGGGUUCAACUGAAGUAAUGCGAUAGAAGCUGUGGAUAAGAGAGUUAUCUGCCAGCCAGGGGUGAAUUGUUAUAGAGUGUUAUGGCAGUAGGCAGCAAUGUUUUCCUGAAUCUGUCCUUGUGAGAGCAGAGCUGGAGCUUCAUCCACCACUAAAAUGUACAUAACGGAAAUGUGUCUCUGGCACUGGAAAAACAGGUCAAAUUACAAUCACCACAUCCUAACAUUCAUACACACAGGAAGAGGGACAGUGCAUCUUAAAGAGACUAAGCGGCCUGAUUGUUGCACAUAGUUGUGCAAUAACAAUUUAUGUGCAAUAUAUAAACAUAAAUAUGCCAUUAUUAAUAACGGCAAUAUUACCUGGCUGUUAUAUCUCCUUCAGGAUGUGUAUUUUGUAAAUUGUGUGUUUUUCUUUAUCUUGAUAUUUUUUUUAAUGCAUAUUUUCUUUUGUAAAGCUGUCUUUGGCUCUGUUGCUGCUGUAGCAAAUUUAAAUUUCCCCUUUGUGGGACGAAUAAAGGGAUUCUGAUUCUGAAUAGCCUAAUAACAUGUGUGCUUUUAAAUAGAAAAAUUCCCCUUUUUGUGUUGCAUGCACAGUGGGAACAUGCACAUAGAUAUAACAAAGGAACAGUGCAGAGAAAGGGCUUAACUUAUUAAAUAUGCAAUGCAUGCAAGUUGAUACAAAUCUUAAAAAAGAGAAAGAAUAGGAUCAUGGAUGGGCUGGCCCUUUUUUUUUUUUUUUACUUUUAAAGACCUGUUAUUAGGAAGAAUGCAUUUUUUCUCAGCUGCAGUGUUAAUGUGGAGAUGUGCCAUGACACAGCCACAUGUAGUAGUCAGCCAUCUUGUAAGCCCUGUCCCUAUUUCUCCAUUUUGAUUAGCUCUUUCACCUUCAAAUGUAACAUGCAUUUCCCCUUAUAAGUAGGAAAUGGGCUUACUCUUUAUUUAUUUUCAUCAAGCACAAAAUGAACACUGGAAAUACGUUCAGUUGUGUAACUAGUUGUGACAGGGUCUCAUUGUUCUAGCAUCGACAUCAAGUGAUAAUAAUCUCACAUGAAAAAAUUCAGAAAUUAUUUUGACAAUUUCUAUUUUGUCUUAAGGAGUGUAUUUAGAUUAGAUUUGCUACAAACUCCAACAACCUGUCCACAGAUUCCUCAUAUACUAUAAAACUAUUUAAACUGUUCAAAAUGAAAAACACAAUCUACUGAAUAUGACCUUCUAAUAGUACGUUCUACAGAAAAGAUCAGGAUGAAAUACUAUUUCUUCAAGUUCCCCUUGGCACAAUUUAAAAGUGAUUUACUAACCUGCAGUGCAGUCCUGUUGUAUUUAUUAAAUCCAUUAACAUCUGCUCCAUUUUGCAGCAAUUCCAACACUUUUUGUAGGUCGCCACGGGCAGAAGCAUUGCAGAGGUUGUCAGACAUUUUUCUGAAAAGGUUUAGGGAGUCAAGGUUUCGGACAAACUGUGACGGAGGACGAUAUCUGCUUGAGGUUAAGUAUCAAGAGCAAUGCAACCAGAAGCACCUCCUCCAUACCUGCCCACAUUGCACGGACUUGACCCAGACCGCCCUCACUGUAAAUCAUAGUUUAGAAUAGAUACAUCUAUUGGUAUGGGGCCUGCUUUUCUGUUUGCCUCCCUUUAUUGACUUAACCAUAUUAAAAACACACCAAUGUCAAUCAAAUGCUUUGUACAAGGUAGUAGCAAACAGCCUUGUCAAAAAUUGUUUGACCUGUCAAAAAUUGUUUGAAUGACUAUCAGCUAAGAAGCUGAAAACAUGUAUAUUAUUGUAUGAACGAAUAAAUAAAUAAAACUUCA